rnacentral:rRNA from 1 species
GACGAACGCUGGCGGCGUGCUUAACACAUGCAAGUCGAACGGAAAGGCCCUGCUUUUGUGGGGUGCUCGAGUGGCGAACGGGUGAGUAACACGUGAGUAACCUGCCCUUGACUUUGGGAUAACUUCAGGAAACUGGGGCUAAUACCGGAUAGGAGCUCCUGAUGCAUGGUGGGGGUUGGAAAGUUUCGGCGGUUGGGGAUGGACUCGCGGCUUAUCCGCUUGUUGGUGGGGUAGUGGCUUACCAAGGCUUUGACGGGUAGCCGGCCUGAGAGGGUGACCGGCCACACUGGGACUGAGGUACGGCCCAGACUCCUACGGGAGGCAGCAGUGGGGAAUAUUGCACGAUGGGCGGAAGCCUGAUGCAGCAACGCCGCGUGCGGGAUGACGGCCUUCGGGUUGUAAACCGCUUUCGCCUGUGACGAAGCGUGAGUGACGGUAAUGUGUAAAGAAGCACCGGCUAACUACGUG